rnacentral:rRNA from 1 species
AGCAGUAGACACGGGAAUACCGAGGGUGCGAGCGUUAAUCGGAUUUACUGGGCGUAAAGCGUGCGUAGGCGGCUUUUUAAGUCGGAUGUGAAAUCCCUGAGCUUAACUUAGGAAUUGCAUUCGAUACUGGGAAGCUAGAGUAUGGGAGAGGAUGGUAGAAUUCCAGGUGUAGCGGUGAAAUGCGUAGAGAUCUGGAGGAAUACCGAUGGCGAAGGCAGCCAUCUGGCCUAAUACUGACGCUGAGGUACGAAAGCAUGGGGAGCAAACAGGAUUAGAGACCCCCGUAGUCCCUGUCUCUUAUAC